UGAUCCUCUCUGUAAAAGCUGUACAAGGUAUUCCUGUGAAGGCUAUCUGAGAUAAAAUAUUUUAAAAAAAAUGGUAGCCAUAACUUUUGCUGUGUCUGAAUGUUGCUGAGCAGGAGGGGAAAUAAUGGCAAAGACAAGGAGAAGGCCAAACCCUGGGGUGAGGAGAAGCAACGAGAUGAAAAGCUGUGAGUGUGUGGGUGCUUGGCAGGCAAGCCACUCACAAUGAAUACUCCUGCCGCCCACAUCGAUGCAGAUACCUAUAGCAGAAAUGCAACCACGCUGAGAUUCAGGUAAUGAAGGCUACAGUGGGGAGUUCUACUGUGAUUAAUGGAAGAAAAUGCAGAUGGGGCUGAAUUGAAGCAACAGUGCAAAAUAUGGCUUUAUAAAUAGGGUUGAAAGAAAUUAAAGUGC